rnacentral:lncRNA from 1 species
AUAUGUGUCAGAGCUUAUGUCUAUUUAAAGGGAGGUCUCUAGAGUUCUUAGUAUUAAUUUUUCAUCAAGAAAACCUUGUCUCUCUCCAUCUCCAUGCCUCCUCUCUCUCAUAUUCUUCUUUUCUAUGCCUAAAGGUUGGGUGUUCUCUCUUCCACACGCCUAGAAGAAGUUCUGGUGACUUAAAGAUCAAGGAUCGAAGAGAAGAAGAAGAAGGCUGCAGAUUAAGGAGUUGAUCUCUCAGUUAAAAUCAAAAGAGUUGAUCAGAGUCC